rnacentral:sRNA from 1 species
GCGUACGCCUGCUGUGGCGCCACGAGGUGCACAUGCGUGUCGAUGCCACCGGCGGUCAGGAUGAGAUGCUCGCCGGAGAUCGCGUCGGUGCCCGGACCGACAACGAGUUCCGGGGUGACCCCCGCCAUCGUGUCCGGGUUGCCGGCCUUGCCGACGCCGGCGAUCCGCCCGUCCUUGAUUCCCACGUCGGCCUUCACCACGCCCAGCAGCGCGUCCAGGACGGUCACGUUGGUGAUGACCAGGUCGACGACGCCGUUCGCGCUGGUGAACUCGGCGCUGGAGCCCAUGCCGUCGC